UUUAGACGCACUGUGUCUACAUGCAAGUAUUUAGAUAAGCUACCCACUAGUGUUGAUUGAGAGAUCACACUAGGGGAGUACAAGAUAAGAGAAGAGAAGACUACUAACAGUCAGUAUAAGCUAUACAUCAUUAAAGAAAAAACUGAAACAAGAAAUAGUGAGACUAUAGGAGAGGACAGGUUAGUGUAUGAGAAUAAGAAAUGAAUAAAUAAAAAACAACAAUUAUUAAAACAACAAAUUAAUACACAUUAGCGUCAAGGUCAAUUUUAAUCAGUUUUACUUACACAAAAAGUGUUUGGUACUGCAUUAGUCCUUUAUUGUGUCCAGUGAUUAUACACACAAUCAUCAA